rnacentral:tRNA from 1 species
GCCCGAUUAGCUCAGUUGGUUAGAGUACUUCUUUGACAUAGAAGAGGUCAGAGGUUCAACUCCUCUAUCGGGCA